rnacentral:rRNA from 1 species
UUGAACGCUGGCGGCAGGCCUAACACAUGCAAGUCGAACGGUAACAGGAAGCAGCUUGCUGCUUUGCUGACGAGUGGCGGACGGGUGAGUAAUGUCUGGGAAACUGCCUGAUGGAGGGGGAUAACUACUGGAAACGGUGGCUAAUACCGCAUAACGUCGCAAGACCAAAGAGGGGGACCUUCGGGCCUCUUGCCAUCAGAUGUGCCCAGAUGGGAUUAGCUUGUUGGUGAGGUAACGGCUCACCAAGGCGACGAUCCCUAGCUGGUCUGAGAGGAUGACCAGCCACACUGGAACUGAGACACGGUCCAGACUCCUACGGGAGGCAGCAGUGGGGAAUAUUGCACAAUGGGCGCAAGCCUGAUGCAGCCAUGCCGCGUGUAUGAAGAAGGCCUUCGGGUUGUAAAGUACUUUCAGCGGGGAGGAAGGUGUUGYGGUUAAUAACCGCAGCAAUUGACGUUACCCGCAGAAGAAGCACCGGCUAACUCCGU